UAGGGAAUCUUCCACAAUGGACGCAAGUCUGAUGGAGCAACGCCGCGUGAGCGAAGAAGGUCUUCGGAUCGUAAAACUCUGUUGUUAGAGAAGAACACGGGUGAGAGUAACUGUUCACCUGUUGACGGUAUCUAACCAGCAAGUCACGGCUAACUACGUGCCAGCAGCCGCGGUAAUACGUAGGUGGCAAGCGUUAUCCGGAUUUAUUGGGCGUAAAGGGAACGCAGGCGGUUCUUUAAGUCUGAUGUGAAAGCCUUCGGCUUAACCGAAGAUGUGCAUUGGAAACUGGGGAACUUGAGUGCAGAAGAGGAGAGUGGAACUCCAUGUGUAGCGGUGAAAUGCGUAGAUAUAUGGAAGAACACCAGUGGCGAAAGCGGCUCUCUGGUCUGUAACUGACGCUGAGGUUCGAAAGCGUGGGUAGCGAACAGG
rnacentral:rRNA from 1 species